rnacentral:lncRNA from 1 species
GGAGGACGAGUGCAAACCUCGGCCUGGUUCGACGGCGGCGCCGCCAUGAAGCUCUCCCUCGCGAACUGAGACUCCGACAGCUUCCUCGAACUGGCAUCCUGAGAGAUCCCCAGAUGCAAUCCCCGGUCGCCGGAGCAAGCGGCGGCGGCAGCGGCAGCGGGGGGCUCUGGCGGUGGCUCCUGCAGAGUCGGAUUGGAGAGAGUAGAGGAGAGGGACGCUGGCGACGGCGGAGCCACUGUGAAAUCUUCCGGAAGCUCCAAGACGUUAUCUUCCGUGCUGAUCAGACAAGGACAGUCGAUCUGAACCAGUACAGAAUCAUCGGCCGGAGAUCUCCGCGGGAUCUCUGAAGAACGCUCGCCAUUCGCCUCCAUCUCGCCGGCCACCUGCUGCGUCGCUCCAACUCCGGAGAACUCAAGAACACCAGCAUCUUCUUCUUCUUCUUCUUCAGAAGUCGCUACUCCACUGUAAUCACAGUCGCCGGUGGCGGCGCUAUACGACGAACUGCGACCCACAGACUCCAUUUGCACCGCUGAGACCUCAACUAGGGCAUCGCCGUCAUUACCACCAUUACCAUCAGCAUCAUCCGCAGGAGCAGCAGCGGCGGCGGCGGCGGCGGCAGCUUCACCAUCUUCCUCUUCAUUGAGCGGGCUAGGGGUUUCUCUGUCAGAGGCGUAUCUCCUGCUCGACUUCGCCGAGUUUCUUGCUGCCGAUCGACGCCUCCGUCGGGUUCCGGCGCCGCCCCCGGCUGUUUCGGAGGAUCUCAAAAGCCUCAGACGAAGCCCUCUGGUUGUGGAACCGGGAAGCUGCUGCUGCUCCUGCUGCUGUUCCUCCUCCGGCGAGCUCGCCGGACGGUCUCCCUCGUCACCGGCGACCCAAUUCGCCGGCGACGGGAGCUCGGCACUCGUACGGAUGAGUCUGCCGUUUGAUCGACUCGAAAGGUCGGAUCUUUUGGACAUCGCCCACCGUCUUUUGAUCUGUUCUUGGGCAGUCAACGAGAUUUCCUCUUUGAGCUCGCCUCCCAUGGCCUGGAGAAUCUGACCAGCAUGCAAUGGAUUCAGGUCAAAGAAUCGAAAUCAGCAUGCAUAGAAGAACCAUCCAUCGGCCGGUGAAUUUAUUUAUCUUGAAUAGUUUCCCGUCUCGGAUCAAUAAAAAUGUUUCACGUAAUUUCAAAAUAGUCAACGGAGCGCUGAAUAAAGGAGCAGAGAUUAUUAAUUUUUCUUUCAGGCCGCUGUAUGAUGAACUGGAAUGGAGAUCUGAGAACAGUGAAGGGAAGAGCGAAGAUACCUUUCCCGUCCGCCGCAAGAACGAUCUCCUCUUCCUGCCAUGAACCUUCCCCUUGGAGCUCCUCCAGUGCUUUAAUGGCGAACCAGCUUCCUCUCCGGGGAACCUGCUCCUCGCAUCUCGGAGCUCGAGCCUCAGCCUCUUUCGCGGGGAGAAAUCGAAAUCCAGCUGCGGCGCCGCCGCCGCCGCCGCCGCCGCCGGCGCAGCCUCCCCGAGCUUGGACAAGAUGCGCACCUUCGUGCCGUCGGGCUCCACAUACACCGGCCGCUCACCGGCGGUGACCGGCGGAGGAGGAAGCUCCGCCGGCGACCUUAUUAGAGCGAGAUCCACAGACCAGCUGGUGCCGUUCCUCC